CGCGCAUCGUAGUGCAUGGCGGCGUUGAUGGCUUCAGUAGACUUAGGUGCUGUGUCCACUAAUCACGUUUUUUACACUGAGAGCGUUAAAAAAUGUUUUUCUCGGCGCUUCGAGAAGUGUUUAUUGUUGCUAAGUUACCAAAACCAAAGACGGUUUAGAACGAUGAAGUGACAUUGACGAGCCCGGCGCUGCUCUAAAAGUUGAACAGAUUUCAGCUUUGAGCGCUCUGAGCGAUGCGGUAAAAAACGGUCAGCGACGAGAGCUUUUUUCCGCCCAGGGCGCUCAGCGCUGUGAAUGGGCUACAUACACUUUAUAUUGAAAAUUGUCGCCGUCGGCGCAAAAAAACGCGAUUGGUGGACACGGGGCCUUAACUUAUUGUAUACUUAAACGCUGCCACCAACAACCGAGCCUCAACGGUGCUGGAAAGUUUUCUGGGAGCUGUGGAGGAGUAUGGUUUACCUUCUCGUGUGAGAUCAGACUAAGGUGGUGAAAACAUUGAAGUGGCAACAUUCAUGGUGACUCAAAGAGGGCCAAACUGCAAUUCUCCCAUAACUGGACGUAUUGUACACAACCAGAGGACAGAACACAUGUGGAGAGAUGUCUAUGGAAAUGUUCUGGAACUUGUUCUACAGCGGUGUUCUGCACUCUAGAACACAAUGGUGCUUUGAGCCCGGAUAGCGAGUUAGACCUGUUGGCUACUCACUCCACUGGGUUCUUCUUACCGCAUAUCCAGAGGCAUCUACAGUCUUUCAAAGAAACCUGGAAUAACCGGACUACGGACAGAGUACAACAGAACACCACUCGAACUGUGGCAGCAGCACACGCCACAUGACCAGGAUGCAGGUCCUUUGCAGGUAAAAACUCAGUGUCUUUACACACUUGUGCCUCAAUGAACUACCUGAUUUAAGUUUGGUUUUCAACAAACCCUUAGGCAUAUGAUGACUCUAGGUGCUUCUCAACAUGCCUCCUCGAUCCUCGAUGCUCGAUCCUCGAGGGGCGUUCCCACUGAUCUAUAACUAACACUGGAUAGACUAUCCCAUUGUUUUCGCCCCAUCAUUCUUUAUGUAGAUCAGUGAGGAUCGAGGCCCAAGGCCCGAGGAGCGUGGGAGGACGUUUAAAAGCCCAAAUGAGAGGCACCCAGAGAAUUUAGAUCAUCAUAUCCCUUGCUCUUGGCACAGGCAAAAAGGCUCAUGAUGACUUUGAGGUGGACAGGGAUGGGCCCAGUCACCAUCACCCAGAAGGCAUCAUUGUUCCUGAGAGGCAACUGCCCCGGCCUCUCUUGGCAGAGGAAGUAAGGCGACUUCCAAAUGCCAAUGUUCCAUUUUCUAAAUGCCAAUGUUCCAUUCUGAAGCUUUGCCUAUAUACCACAGUGUGGGUAACACUCUGACAGAUAUUCUGUCCAGUGUGUGAAAUUUAAACCAUUUGUCAUCACAAGAAA